CCCAUGGAGCCGAACUUGUUUUUUGAAAUUCCUUGGGCUUAUAGAGAAUCUCAUAAAUCAAGACACAAUGUGGUAGUAUCAACUCUUUCCUAUGAAAUGUAACUUGUUAUUUGAAUGUUCUUGGGCUAAGUCUUGCCUCUAAGGCCAGAGUUAUAGAAUAUCUUAUAAAUCAAAACAUAAUAUGGUAAUGUAAACUCUUGCCCGUGUGCAUAACUUGUUGUUUGAAAGUCCUUGGACUAUGUCUUGCCUCUAAUGACAAAACCUGUAGAGCUUCUCACAAAUCAAGACAUAGUAUGGUAGUGCCAACUCUUUCCAUAGGGCGUAACUUAUUGUUUGAAAAUCCUUGGGCUUAGUCUUGCCUCUAAGACAAGAGUUAUAGAACAUCUCAUAAAUUAAAAUACAAUAUUGUAGUGUCAACUCUUGCCCAUGGGGCUUAACUUUAUCUUUGAAAGCCCUUGGUCUAAGUCUUGCCUCUAAGUCAAAAGUUAUAGAACAUCUCAUAAUCAUGACACAAUGUGGUAGUAUCAACUCUUGCUUAUAGGGAAUAACUUAUUGUUUGAAAUUCAUUGGGCUAAGUAUUGCAUCUAAGGCAGGAGUUAUAGAACAUCUCAUAAAUCAAGACACAACAUGGUAGUAUCAACUCUUACUUGUGCGGCAUAAC
rnacentral:lncRNA from 1 species